UUUCUCUUAGCUUACAGUUAAAGCAUUAGUUUGAAGCACUAAAGAUAAUUUUUUAUUAGAGCGGC
rnacentral:tRNA from 1 species